rnacentral:rRNA from 1 species
GCUGUGAGAGCGACUCUCACUGCUGGCAGAUAAGAGGAGGUGUGAGAUACGUCCGGACUUAUCCUGCAUCCACCACCGAGUAUGACGAAAGAAGCUCUAGCGCUUGGAAUUCAGUUUGCCGUAGAGAAGCUACUGACGGCAUCUGAAAUCGAGGCCUGACUAACGUCGGUUCAGCUGCGCGGUACUUCGAUGGGACAAUCAUUGUUCCGCAAUACUGGGCGUAAACCUCCAGUAGUUGGAUAUUAUAGUCUGGGUGACAUCCCCACAGCUCGGCUCUGGAACUGCCUUUGAUACUGCGCAUGUCAGUAUGGAAGAGGUAAGUGGAAAUGCGAGUGUAGAGGUGAAAGUCGUAGAUAUUCGCAGGAACACCAGUGGCGACGGCGGCUUACUGGUCCAUAUCUGACGCUGAGCUGCGAAAGCGUGUGGAGCAAACAGGAUUAGAUACCCUGGUAGUACACGCCGUAAACGAUGAAUGUUAGCCGUCGCGCAGUUUACUGUUCGGUGGCGCAGCUAACGCAUUAAACAUUCCGCCUGGGGAGUACGGUCGCAAGAUUAAAACUCAAAGGAAUUGACGGGGGCCCGCACAAGCGGUGGAGCAUGUGGUUUAAUUCGAAGCAACGCGCAGAACCUUACCAGCCCUUGACAUGUCCGGCUAUCCAGAGAGAUUUGGAGUUCCCUUCGGGGACCGGAGCACAGGUGCUGCAUGGCUGUCGUCAGCUCGUGUCGUGAGAUGUUGGGUUAAGUCCCGCAACGAGCGCAACCCUCGCCCUUAGUUGCCAGCAUUCAGUUGGGCACUCUAGGGGGACUGCCGGUGAUAAGCCGAGAGGAAGGUGGGGAUGACGUCAAGUCCUCAUGGCCCUUACGGGCUGGGCUACACACGUGCUACAAUGGUGGUGACAGUGGGCAGCGAAGGAGCGAUCCUGAGCUAAUCUCCAAAAGCCAUCUCAGUUCGGAUUGCACUCUGCAACUCGAGUGCAUGAAGUUGGAAUCGCUAGUAAUCGCGGAUCAGCACGCCGCGGUGAAUACGUUCCCGGGCCUUGUACACACCGUCCGUCACACCAUGGGAGUUGGUUUUACCCGAAGGUAGUGCGCUAACCGCAAGGAGGCAGCUAACCACGGUAGUUCUCAACCGAC